AAAGGCCCACCAAGGCGACGAUCGGUAGCCGGACUGAGAGGUUGAUCGGCCACAUUGGGACUGAGACACGGCCCAGACUCCUACGGGAGGCAGCAGUGGGGGAUAUUGCACAAUGGGGGAAACCCUGAUGCAGCAACGCCGCGUGAAGGAAGAAGGUCUUCGGAUUGUAAACUUCUGUCCUCAGGGAAGAUAAUGACGGUACCUGAGGAGGAAGCUCCGGCUAACUAC
rnacentral:rRNA from 1 species